GGAGGUAUGGCUCAGAUGGUAGAGCACUUGCCUAGCAAAUUCAAGGCACUGAGUUCAAAUCCUAGUACCAUUA
rnacentral:tRNA from 1 species